AGUGACAAGGAAAACAGAUUUUAUCAUUACUACAAAUAAAUUUGAAUUCAAAGCCAUUUUACUAUUUCAGCAUACAUAAAAUCAUAGACAAAAAGAAGUAUUAACAAUGUAAGUUUAUCUCGAUUUACUGCCGUUUUUUAGUGACGUAUAAUGUAAAUUACAACUGGAUAAAUGCCAAUACUUAUUUACACGGAUGUAUCUAUGUAUAUCGAUUAGCAUAGUGAUCUCUUCAAGUUACCUUUUUGUAUUUAGAUUAACGUAGGAAUAAUGCAUCUACGGGUAUAUUAGAGCCAUUUAAAAGUGAGCACAAGAAUAAUUUAAACUGACUACUGUAGCCAAAUUGUCAAUGGGGUAAAUUCUAAUGGGUAUUUUUGGCUAAAACAGGUACAUUGAACACUUGGCAUUUGGUAUCUCUAUCCAUCGAGAGAGAGGAAGAAAAAAAAAUACUUGGGUCUUGUGCCAUUACCUCGAUUUUGUUUCUUAUUUAAAUUUUGUAUAUGACAACGCAAAAGUUGGGGGCUGCAUUAAGUGCUUUUGUGGUUUACAAAAAAAGCGAAUUAAUGCCCGAGAAUAGAGGAAAUCGCUGCGGUUGCCAGCUGUAACGCGUUUAAUUUAUAUCCUUGGUAAACGAAAAAAGGAACAAAAACGUACCGAAAAACGAAACCAAAAAUGGUGAGAGCGAAAACGAAAGA